rnacentral:rRNA from 1 species
AGAGUUUGAUCCUGGCUCAGGACGAACGCUGGCGGCGCGCCUAACACAUGCAAGUCGAACGAGCGAGAGAGAGCUUGCUUUCUCGAGCGAGUGGCGAACGGGUGAGUAACGCGUGAGGAACCUGCCUCAAAGAGGGGGACAACAGUUGGAAACGACUGCUAAUACCGCAUAAGCCCACGGUGCCGCAUGGCACAGAGGGAAAAGGAGCAAUCCGCUUUGAGAUGGCCUCGCGUCCGAUUAGCUAGUUGGUGAGGUAAUGGCCCACCAAGGCGACGAUCGGUAGCCGGACUGAGAGGUUGAACGGCCACAUUGGGACUGAGACACGGCCCAGACUCCUACGGGAGGCAGCA